rnacentral:tRNA from 1 species
GGAGAGUGGGCAGGACGGUAAUGCGCUAGUCUUGAAAACUAGUGGGAGCAAUCCCUAACAGGUUCGACCCCUGUACUCUCCG